AUGUCAUGAUGAGGACAGGCCAGGAUGUAUUCCUGUAGCCUCUCCCAAGCUUCUGGGAUGGAUUCCAUCCCUGUCUGCUGGAAACUUGAAAUCCUUUUCUUUAUAAAACC